GGGACAAGGAAAUAUCAACAAUGUGAUGUCACAAUGUAUGAUGGCCGCUGUGUAAUCUCCGUCGUUAAAAAUGUUUACAUUACGGCAAGAUUGGUACUAUACUACUCACAGUAUAUUUAAGAGAAUGUUUAAUGUUCACUCUGCUGUUGAAAGACGAGAGCGGCCAACAUGGUUUUCUGUGUUAAUUCUUCUUUUGGAAAAGAAAGUUCUGACGAAGGCCUUGCGUUUAGGAAUGUCUUUGUGUCUAAUGGCAAAAUAUGAGCAUAUUGGGUUUAUUUGCUUACUGUUCAGUAUAGCUUUGUGAUUCUAUUACCUCUUUUAAAGAAGCAAGCAAGAAAUAUUUAACAGCAAGUUCCUAUGAAGUCCUUAUGAAUCUGUGGCUUUAUGGAAAUCCAUGAAAGAUAAAAUAGUUUUGUGUGCUCAUACAUUUACAUUUCUGAGCAUGAAUGGAUUAUAAGGGAAGAAAAAUAUUGUUAACUGAUGCCUAGAUAUAUUAACAUUUAGCGUAUUUAAAUGUAUAAAUUAAUAUAUUUUUCUUUAAAUUUUAUUUAUCAUUUCGUAUUUGAUUUGGUUGAUUUAAAAUUUCCUAAGGUACAUACCAGUUAC